rnacentral:tRNA from 1 species
GCAGUCGUGGUUCAGUGGUAGAAUUCUUGCCUUCCAUGUAGGAGAUGGGUUCAAUUCCCAGCCAGAGCA